rnacentral:rRNA from 1 species
UACAGAGGUGGCAAGCGUUGUUCGGAAUUACUGGGCGUAAAGGGCGCGUAGGCGGCCAUCUAAGUCAGACGUGAAAUCCCCCGGCUUAACCUGGGAACUGCGUCUGAUACUGGACGGCUGGAGUUUGGGAGAGGGAUGUAGAAUUCCAGGUGUAGCGGUGAAAUGCGUAGAUAUCUGGAGGAAGACCGGUGGCGAAGGCGGCAUCCUGGACCAAUACUGACGCUGAGGCGCGAAAGCUAGGGGAGCAAACGGG